rnacentral:misc_RNA from 1 species
GAAAUGCGAUAAGUAAUGUGAAUUGCAGAAUUCAGUGAAUCAUCGAAUCUUUGAACGCACCUUGCGCUCCUUGGUAUUCCGAGGAGCAUGCCUGUUUGAGUGUCAUGGAAUUCUCAACUCUAUUUGCUUUUGUGAAUAGAGCUUGGAUUUGGAGGUUUAUUGCUGGUACUUGUGAUUGGCUCCUCUUGAAUGCAUUAGCUCGAACCUUUGCGGAUCAGCUAUCGGUGUGAUAAUUGUCUACGCCGUUGCAGUGAAGCAUAUCAAUGGGCUCGGCUUCCAAUCGUCCUUUCCUGGACAAUGACUUUGACCUUUGACCUCAAAUCAGUUAGGAUUACCCGCUGACCUUAAGC